rnacentral:tRNA from 1 species
ACCCGGUUAGCUCAGUUGGUAGAGCAUCAGACUUUUAAUCUGAGGGCCAUGGGUUCGAGUCCCAUAUCGGGCU